GGGGCCUUGGCUCAGCGGUAGAGCAUCUGAUUUAUAUGCAGAAGGUCCCAGGUUCAAUCCCUGGCAUCUCCA